rnacentral:tRNA from 2 species
UGGGAAUUAGUUUAACGGUAGAACUACGGACUCUGACUCCGUCAAUCCUGGUUCGAAUCCAGGAUUCCCAGCCA